UACGUAGGGUGCUAGCGUUGUCCGGAUUUAUUGGGCGUAAAGGGCUCGUAGGCGGCGUGUCGCGUCGGGAGUGAAAGCCCGCUGCUUAACGGCGGGUUGGCUUCCGGUACGGGCAGACUAGAGUGAUGUAGGGGAGACUGGAAUUCCUGGUGUAGCGGUGAAAUGCGCAGAUAUCAGGAGGAACACCGAUGGCGAAGGCAGGUCUCUGGGCAUUAACUGACGCUGAGGAGCGAAAGCAUGGGGAGCGAACAGG
rnacentral:rRNA from 1 species